AGGUGGUUACUUUCAAGGAGAAUCAUGAAACUAGAGAGGAUUUACCAUGAACCAUUUGGGAACCAACUUGUUAGCUGCCUUAUAACUAUCAUCCUUCUGAUGAAAUAACACCAUUACAGCUGUUAGUUACGUCAAGACAUUAAUCUCAAGAUGCAAGUACUGAGCUUUAACGGAUUUCAAUUUACAUAAGCAAGACAACCAAUUCUGUUGUUGAGGAGAAAACCAACUACACACCCAGCUAUGAAUGGUCUUAGUCAUUGGUGAAGAAAACCACUUGCCUUACAUGAGGCCACCACUAUCGCGUAAGAAUUGUGGUUCAGUGACGAUCCCGAAGUGUCAAACAAACUGAAGUUUAAGCAGUGGAACGGAAAAAA